rnacentral:tRNA from 1 species
GCUGCGGUAGUUCAAUGGUAGAAUCCAGGACUGUGGAUCCUGGGACGCGAGUUCGAUUCCCGCCUGCGGCC